rnacentral:rRNA from 1 species
UACGUAGGGUGCGAGCGUUGUCCGGAAUUCUUGGGCGUAAAGGGCUCGUAGGCGGUUUGUCGCGUCGGGAGUGAAAACUCAGGGCUUAACCCUGAGCCUGCUUCCGAUACGGGCAGACUAGAGGUAUGCAGGGGAGAACGGAAUUCCUGGUGUAGCGGUGAAAUGCGCAGAUAUCAGGAGGAACACCGGUGGCGAAGGCGGUUCUCUGGGCAUUACCUGACGCUGAGGAGCGAAAGUGUGGGGAGCGAACAGG